rnacentral:rRNA from 1 species
AACGAACGCUGGCGGCAUGCCUAACACAUGCAAGUCGAACGAGACCUUCGGGUCUAGUGGCGCACGGGUGCGUAACGCGUGGGAACCUGCCCUUAGGUUCGGAAUAACUCCCCGAAAGGGGUGCUAAUACCGGAUAAUGUCUUCGGACCAAAGAUUUGUCGCCUUUGGAUGGGCCCGCGUUUGAUUAGCUAGUUGGUAGGGUAAAAGCGUACCAAGGCGACGAUCCAUAGCUGGUCUGAGAGGAUGAUCAGCCACACUGGGACUGAGACACGGCCCAGACUCCUACGGGAGGCAGGAGUGGGGAAUAUUGGACAAUGGGCGAAAGCCUGAACCAGCAAUGCCGCGUGAGUGAUGAAGGCCUUAGGGUUGUAAAGCUCUUUUACCCGGGAUGAUAAUGACAGUACCGGGAGAAUAAGCUCCGGCUAACUCCGUG